CCUACGGGGGGCUGCAGUCGAGGAUCUUCGGCAAUGGGCGAAAGCCUGACCGAGCGACGCCGCGUGUGCGACGAAGGCCUUCGGGUUGUAAAGCACUUUGGUGGGGGAGAAAGCCGAAAGGUUGAUCGAUCCCAAGAACAAGCACGGGCUAAGUUCGUGCCAGCAGCCGCGGUAAGACGAACCGUGCGAACGUUGUUCGGAAUCACUGGGCUUAAAGGGCGCGUAGGCGGGCCGGCCAGUCCGUGGUGAAAUACUCCAGCUCAACUGGAGAACUG
rnacentral:rRNA from 1 species